AACAAUAAACGUAUGUUUCUUCCCAUAAAGCUCGGGUAUAGAGCUUAUACUCAAACAAAAAUAUUAAAAAAAAAACAGGAAAGUUAACAUAAAAAUAUGAGAUAACAAAGAAAUGAGAAUAAAUAAAAUAAAAAAUAAAAUAAACAAACAAACAAACAAACAAAUCAAACAACCCUGGAACGAAAGGGUAGGCUUAAGUCUCUUUAGGAGAACUCCCCAACAAAGUCGUCAGCUGCCACAUCUCGAAAAAAUACGACCUC
rnacentral:lncRNA from 1 species